CAUGUAUAAAAUAGUUUAUUACCAUAAUAAAUAAAACUUUUUUUUUUUACAAAUAUCAUUUGUGCUUGUUUAAAAAUGUUGAGAAGGGAAUAUCAUCAAUGGAAGGGCCUGCACGUUCCUCUUAACAUUCCCAAGCCACAGAUAUACAGUGGUGUUCUUGGCAGCAUCCUCAGCUGACCACAAAAAUAGUAUCAGCUCAUUUACACUUUUGUUUAUUCAUGCUCAUUUGGACAAAGUGACAGAUGCAAAGGAAAAAGAAAACCCAAUAAAGGAUUUGGCAGGACUCAAUGGAAAGAGUAUUAAUAUAAGGAGAAGCCCCAGAAUGAUGAACUGCUCAUAAGUAGAAGUGUCCUUGAGGUGUCGGUGAAAUGUCGGAUGUGGACAGUCUCCAACUGAUGCACAAAUACAGCAUCGGAAUAUUAAGAGAAUACAUUCAUUAGGGGAGGGUGCAUCCUUCAACAUAAGAUCAGUUUAUAUCCUGAUACAAGAUCUGUGAACUUCUCAUUGAACAACUAAUGGAUCCGUCGGAUGACUCAGAAGUCACAGAUAAAGGGACAGUGGCUGUAAGAAAAGUUUAAUGGCAGGCAGGGAGGGCACCCACCAGUCUGGCACCUGCAGGGAAUUCAAGUCCAGUUCUAGAGGUUCCAGAAUAAGUCUGAUAUGCUUGCAUGAGAAUGAAGUUUCACUUGAAUUUAAGCUGCAGAUAAAUUCACAUUGAUUCUUUUGAGCUGUAGGGGGUAGAAAUUAAAACUUCUCAACAUGAACACCUUUGGUGAGAAAAUGUUUUUUUCUCUGAUGUUUGCAGUCAGUGCUGAGAGGAUCAUGAAGUCUCCCCCAGGUGGAGGGCACAGGAGCUGGUGAAGGUAAUUUUUAAUUGAAGCGAGUGAGAAGGCAGUAUAUAGAGCAAUAACAAUGAUUUAGCAACAGAGGGAGGCUGUCUGGGGCAUCAAGUGUGCCCUCAAUGGCCUCCUCUUUAAGCAACACUAGGUGAUAAGGGAGGAGAGAGGAAGGGGCAUUGGCAGCUCUAUCACAGCUGGAGUUCCAUUCAAGGGUCUUAAGGCUAAACGUCUUUAUUGCAAGACAUAGUAAAACCUAUUAAUCAAAUGCACAUCAGCAACGUGUAUCUCCACCAGGGCUCCUAAAAUUUCCCAGAGUAUGCAUGGGAGACAUAGUGGUCAGUGCAACAAGGGGAAAUGAGAAUCUUCCUAUACCUAGUCUUCCUAUACCUAGUAUUCCUAAAGAGUUCAUUUAGUCCCCACAAGGGCCUGGACAAAGAGCUUGACAGUUGGCAUAAUACUUCUACCUUCCAUUUAAGGAUUUGGAGAGGAAGCUUGCUGAAUGGGAUGGGGUGGUAUAGUACAUUUUUACCCCUGCCCAGCCCUCCCCACUUUUGAAAGAGGAGGAUUCCAGGAAAGGGGCUGAUGUUUGGCCAACAGCAGCACACUGGAUCGAAGAGGUUGUGGGUAAAACAGUCCCCAGGGAUUGGAUAACAAGAAGAAAUCAAGUAAGAAAUGCAUUUCCAAAAGUUUGCUGGAAGGCUGCUAAAUGGGCUCAGCUUUUUAAAUACUUGGGCUAUCCUGUAGCAUUAAUGUUGUAACCUUAUUAGCAUAAUGUAGCAUUGCAUUAAUGCAAUGAGUUGCAUUCAUGAAUGCAAUGAGUUGCAUUAAUUGUACACUAGACAAUUUGGUUUCUCAACCAAAUGGUCGUCUCUGUUUCCGUCCUUUGGCUAUCUUGUCAUGUCCAGUGGAGGAGCCCUUUGUAAGUAUAUGGGAUGGCAGCGCCCAUUGCUGGAGUCAAUGCCCCCCCACCAAGAACAAACACCACCUCAUUGACCAUCUUAGUUCUUAGAGUUAACCUUAAACCCACCCCUCCAUCAGCCGGGAGGAGCACGUUCAACCAGCAGCCAAGUGACAGGGACAGGACCUACCCUCUUCAAAGCAGCCUGUCAGGAUAUUCUCUGGGAAAUGGAGCUUCAAUAUGAAUGACAUUCAAAGUAAAGAAUUUAGUAGAAAUCAAAUAACCAGCACUUACUAGAUAAUGGUGCCACAUAUCAUGCCCCGACUCCUCAAAGAGGAAAAACAUACAUCCUGGGCAAAUCUGUUCUCUCUUGGCAUACUUUUUCUGAAGUCUAAAUGUUCUGUCCCAUACCUAGUAACUUUUUGUUUCCCUAAUCUCUCUCCAGCCACCAGAUAAUGGUUUAUACUGGAAGGCUCAGGUCACUGGUAUCUGAGGCACAUGGUCCUGGCUCGGGAACCCAGAGUGGCAUCCUGGCAUGGGAAGGCAGUCAGCACAAAGCAGCCUGCGGUCAAGUUCAUGGUGCGAAAAGGAAGGGAGAAAGGUUUGGCUCAUUUACACAAUGUUUUUUCAAAGAAAACAAUUACAGCAAAAAAUCCCUCAAAUCCUAGGGAGGAUUACAGGAGAAUAAAGCCCAUGCACCCACACGUGCACCUGUGACCCAAGAUGAACAGAUUCCUGCCGCAGGAGCUGGCUUCCAGUCAUGAGCCCAGUUUGCGCUGAUUCACGAGUGCAUUCCUAAAGCUACAUUCCCCCCAAGAACAUGUCUGGACUUCAAAGCCUUAUACCAUCUUUGCCCCUCAUACCCAGAGGUCUGAGAAAUUUCACGGACAUCCGUCUCCCUCAGGCAGAGCUGGAGGGAAAUGGCAGGGCCUCUUGACAUUGACCGUUGGGUGCCAGACAAGAAGCCUGUCAUCAAGUCCCUGGAGAGCUGAGAGGCAAAAAAGUGUCUCCAGUGGCAGGUUCUUCUGAGGCUGGGUUUUGGGGGUGAUUAGAGGCCUGCCCUGCCUUAAAAGUGGUGGGUCCUAAACUUCAGAAGCAGGUUGAGGAGCAUGUUUAAGAAAUGGCAGACUAGAAUGUUAGGGGGCAGCCAACAGAUGGGAUUCCAGAUAUUUUACGGCCUCUUACCCAAGGACUGGUUGGCAGCUUCUCAAGUGAAAGAGGCUGAAGGCCUCACAGCUUUAUUCAAAGUCACAGAUAGUUGUGACUCGGCCUUAGGAAAUUAGACUUCCUCUUACUUGUAUGCCGCCAUCUGAGGCUAAAUCUAAUUAUGUCGCAACCUGGAGAAGCCAGGGGCAGCCCCUGUAAGCCUGAUGUGAGAAGCUACAUAUGAGGUUAGGGCUCAUGGAGCAGGACUCUCCCUUGAGCUCGCAGGCCUUGUCUUCCCAGGGCCAUCUGUGCCAACCCUGCGAACCAGGAGAGGUCAGCCCUGCCUUGCACAGACAACCGAGGGCCCAGCCCUGGGACUCGCCGUGAGCACUGGGCAGGACUAAGGAGGUGGGGUGGGGUGGGGUGGUGGGCAGUCUCAGACCGGAGGCUCUCAGAAACACUGAAUAUCUUUGGUAGGGCAGAGGUACCAGGAAUGGGGUCACCGUCUAACACAGGCAAAGGUAAGCUCCCUGGAUAAGUCCAUGCUGUCACCUGUACUCCUAAUUCCAUUCCCUCCAAGUUGACUUUUCAGAGCUGAACUUCUAACCUUGCGUGUCAGUAUUUGGGGUCCUGACACCUCUCUCUAGGGCAUAUGCCCCGGCCAGCUCCACUGUGCCUGGAAGAGACUUCACUCCUUUCCUUUCUCAGAUGCCAUUGAGAGAAGCCCAAGCACAU
rnacentral:lncRNA from 1 species